GACGAACGCUGGCGGCGUGCCUAAUACAUGCAAGUCGAACGCACUGGGGACGGUUGAGUAACACGUGGGUAACCUCCCAUCAGAGUGCAUAACACUUGGAAACAGGUGCUAAACCGAUAUUGAUUGAUGGACCCGCGGUGCAUUAGCUAGUUGGUGGGGUAACGGCUCACCAAGGCCACGAUGCAUAGCCGACCUGAGAGGAUGAUCGGCCACACUGGAACUGAGACACGGCCCAGACUCCUACGGGAGGCAGCAGUAGGGAAGAUUCGGCAAUGGGCGAAAGUCUGACCGAGCAAUGCCGCGUGAGUGAAGAAGGUUUUCGGAUCGUAAAACUCUGUUGUUAGAGAAGCGGUAUCUAACCAGAAAGCCACGGCUAACUACGUGCCAGCAGCCGCGGUAAUAC
rnacentral:rRNA from 1 species